rnacentral:rRNA from 1 species
AUGAAGUCGGAAUUGCUAGUAAUCGCGGAUCAGCAUGCCGCGGUGAAUACGUUCCCGGGCCUUGUACACACCGCCCGUCACACCAUGGGAGUCGGUAACACCCGAAGCCUGUAGUCUAACCGCAAGGGGGACGCAGUCGAAGGUGGGAUUGAUGACUGGGGUGAAGUCGUAACAAGGUACC